ensembl:snRNA U6 U6 spliceosomal RNA
GUGCUUGCUUCGGCAGCACAUAUACUAAAAUUGGAACGAUACAAAGAAGAUUAGCAUGGCUCCGCACAAGAAUGACAUGGAAAUUCGUGAAGUAUUCCAUAUUUUU